rnacentral:rRNA from 1 species
UACGGGGGGGGCAAGCGUUGUUCGGAAUUACUGGGCGUAAAGGGCUCGUAGGUGGCCAACUAAGUCAGACGUGAAACCCCUCGGCUUAACCGGGGAACUGCGUCUGAUACUGGAUGGCUUGAGUUUGGGAGAGGGAUGCGGAAUUCCAGGUGUAGCGGUGAAAUGCGUAGAUAUCUGGAGGGACACCGGUGGCGAAGGCGGCAUCCUGGACCAAUACUGACACUGAGGAGCGAAAGCCAGGGGAGCAAACGGG